rnacentral:rRNA from 1 species
AACGAACGCUGGCGGCAGGCUUAACACAUGCAAGUCGAACGAUACCAGAGAGCUUGCUUUCUGGGAAAGUGGCGCACGGGUGCGUAACGCGUAUGCAACCUACCUUAAUCAGGGGGAUAGCCUCUCGAAAGAGAGAUUAACACCGCAUAACAUUAUGAUAUGGCAUCAUAUUAUAAUCAAAUAUUUAUAGGAUUAAGAUAGGCAUGCGUGACAUUAGCUAGUUGGUGAGGUAACGGCUCACCAAGGCUACGAUGUCUAGGGGAUCUGAGAGGAUGACCCCCCACACUGGUACUGAGACACGGACCAGACUCCUACGGGAGGCAGCAGUAAGGAAUAUUGGUCAAUGGAGGCAACUCUGAACCAGCCAUGCCGCGUGCAGGAAGACGGCCCUAUGGGUUGUAAACUGCUUUUAUACGGGAAUAAACCUCUCUGCGUGUAGAGAGUUGAAUGUACUGUAAGAAUAAGGAUCGGCUAACUCCGUGCCAGCAGCCGCAGUAACAC